rnacentral:lncRNA from 1 species
GAAUAAUAACUAUCUGAAUUAUUUCUACCAUAGAAAUCUAUAUUUUCUAAUUCAUCUUCUAUCCAAUUAGUACUUAGUAACUCAUCUUUAUAAUCAAAUAUUUUUUCUCAUAUUAUUUUCUUUAUGUCUUCUAAUUCUAAGUCUUUUAUGAUAUAUAAAACUAGUAUCUUAGUUUCAUCAGAUAUAUAUCUUCUCAUAUUAUUCAUAUUAUGCUAAGGUUUCUACGAAUAACUUGGAUAACUUGGAAUUGGAUUCUAGUAAUUAAAUGCUUUAUCAUAGUAUUUAUUAGUUGUUUGUUUUAAUCUUAAUAAUUCCUCUAUAUUUUCAUUAAGGAAUUCUAUAUAUUUUAUAUCUUUAGUUCUCAUAUAUUN